UGUCAUGGCGGCCGUACGCGGGAGACCUUCGGGUCUGCCGGUUCUCUGGAGUCCGGUCUUGCACACCCGCGUACAGCUGCCACCCAA
rnacentral:antisense_RNA from 1 species